GACGUAGGGCGCGAGCGUUGUCCGGAUUUAUUGGGCGUAAAGAGCUCGUAGGCGGCUUGUCGCGUCGUCCGUGAAAACCUGCAGCUCAACUGCAGGCUUGCGGGCGAUACGGGCAGGCUAGAGUUCGGUGAGGGGAGACGUGGAAUUCCUGGUGUAGCGGUGGAAAUGACGCAGAUAUCAGGAGGAACACCGGUGGCGAAGGCGGGUCUCUGGGCCGAUACUGACGCUGAGGAGCGAAAGCGUGGGGAGCGAACAGG
rnacentral:rRNA from 1 species